rnacentral:tRNA from 1 species
GCGCCCAUAGCUCAAUUGGAUAGAGCGUCGGCCUGCGGAGCCGAAGGUUGGUGGUUCGAACCCACCUGGGCGCACCA